UCGGGUUGUAAAGCACUUUUGUCCGGAAAGAAAACCUCGUGGUUAAUACCCGUGGGGGAUGACGGUACCGGAAGAAUAAGCACCGGCUAACUACGUGCCAGCAGCCGCGGUAAUACGUAGGGUGCAAGCGUUAAUCGGAAUUACUGGGCGUAAAGCGUGCGCAGGCGGUUCGCUAAGACAGAUGUGAAAUCCCCCGGGCUUAACCUGGAACUGCAUUUGUGACUGGCGGGCUAGAGUAUGGCAGAGGGGGGUAGAAUUCCACGUGUAGCAGUGAAAUGCGUAGAGAUGUGGAGGAAUACCCGAUGGCGAAGGCAGCCCCCUGGGCCAAUACUGACGCUCAUGCACGAAAGCGUGGGGAGCAAACAGGAUUAGAUACCCUGGUAGUCCACGCCCUAAACGAUGUCAACUAGUUGUCGGGUCUUCAUUGACUUGGUAACGAAGCUAACGCGUGAAGUUGACCGCCUGGGGAGUACGGUCGCAAGAUUAAAACUCAAAGGAAUUGACGGGGACCCGCACAAGCGGUGGAUGAUGUGGAUUAAUUCGAUGCAACGCGAAAAACCUUACCUACCCUUGACAUGUAUGGAAUCCUGCUG
rnacentral:rRNA from 1 species